rnacentral:rRNA from 1 species
GUGAGGAAUAUUGGGCAAUGGGGGAAACCCUGACCCAGCAACGCCGCGUGAAGGAAGAAGGCUUUCGGGUUGUAAACUUCUUUUACCAGGGAAAAACACAAUGAUGGUACCUGGAGAAAAAGCUACGGCUAACUACGUGCCAGCAGCCGCGGUAAUACGUAGGUGGCAAGCGUUGUCCGGAAUUACUGGGUGUAAAGGGCGUGUAGGCGGAACUACAAGUCAGGGGUGAAAACUAUGGGCUUAACCCAUAGCCUGCCUUUGAAACUGUAGUCCUUGAGUGCUGGAGAGGCAAUUGGAAUUCCUAGUGUAGCGGUGAAAUGCGUAGAUAUUAGGAGGAACACCAGUGGCGAAGGCGAAUUGCUGGACAGUAACUGACGCUGAGGCGCGAAAGCGUGGGGAGCAAACAGGAUUAGAUACCCUUGUAGUCC